UUUGGUGGAACAUCGGCUAAGGUCGCUACGUCCAUCCUGUGGCAACGCCGCUGAACUUACAUCCUGUGAG
rnacentral:sRNA from 1 species